GACGAACGCUGGCGGCGUGCUUAACACAUGCAAGUCGAACGGAAAGGCCCUGCUUUUGUGGGGUGCUCGAGUGGCGAACGGGUGAGUAACACGUGAGUAACCUGCCCUUGACUUUGGGAUAACUUCAGGAAACUGGGGCUAAUACCGGAUAGGAGCUCCUGCUGCAUGGUGGGGGUUGGAAAGUUUCGGCGGUGGGGGCUGGACUCGCGGCUUAUCAGCUUGUUGGGGGGGUAGUGGCUUACCAAGGUUUUGACGGGUAGCCGGCCUGAGAGGGUGACCGGCCACAUUGGGACUGAGAUACGGCCCAGACUCCUACGGGAGGCAGCAGUGGGGAAUAUUGCACAAUGGGCGGAAGCCUGAUGCAGCAACGCCGCGUGCGGGAUGACGGCCUUCGGGUUGUAAACCGCUUUCGCCUGUGACGAAGCGUGAGUGACGGUAAUGGGUAAAGAAGCACCGGCUAACUACGUG
rnacentral:rRNA from 1 species